AACGCACGAGACCUGCGGACCUGCGGAAGGAUCAUUAUAAAAAUAUGGUCUCAAAACCAUUCUCCUGUGAUUUACGUAACUGUGUAUACUUUGGCAGGCUUUGGGUCGUUAUCGAUUCAACUUCUACGUUCGUACGAAUGUUUGAAAGCCGGCCUGCCAGAGGUUUUCAUAAACACACACACGUUUAAACUACUGUCUGAAAAUCUCUUUCGAGAGAAUAAAAGCAAAAUCAAAUACAAC
rnacentral:misc_RNA from 1 species